UACUGUUGCUCUUGGUUACCCACCAUAGCUAGAUGGUAAGACCCUACUGGUGAAAACACUACUCAGUUUUGAUGGCUAAAAUAGAGAAAGAGCCCUUAACCUACCCAGGGAGUUCUCUUCUGACUAGCUUACCUCACACCAGAGAGUGCCCUGUAGGCUCCUGGGGGAGAAAAGGUAUCAGCGGCCCUACUCAGUCUUGACCCUGCACUUAACACUGACCCAGUGGCAAAGUGUGCUAACUGCUGUGUUAGUGGCAUGGCAGCUGUGGGGUUAACCAGCUGCCUUAUGCUUGGCUAUGAGGCCUGCUCAACAGGAGGCAUUUCAUGACUGGUAUUAUAAACCUGGUCAGAAGCCUGUUACAGGGGAGAUCAUAGGCUCUAGCAAUGUAUUAAUUACCUUUGUAUUGUUGUGAUAAAACGCCAUAACCCAGGCAGUUUAUAAAAGACAGUGUUUAACAGGGCUUCUGGUUUUAGAGGGUUCGAGUUCAUAGGGGCAGAGCAAAGGCAUGGAGGCAGGAAUGACCGAUCCACAGCAGGGGCCAGAGACCACACUGUGAAUGGCACCAGUGACCACGACACACAUCCAGUAACAAGGUCACACCUCUGAAUCCUCGCCAAACAGUUCCACCAACUGGAGACCAAGUUUUUAAACCCAUGAGCCCACGGGGGCAUUCUAAUUCAAACCACCACAAGUGGGUAACCUACUGCUGGUAUUUUGCUACUGGAUCCUGCAUCUUUAUGGCUGUCCUCACAGAUAAGGGCUGCCCUCAGCUUUGGUCAGAGAGGCUUCUUUUUGCAGUGAGCAGCGGCUACCACAGAGACUCAGAACCUGUCAAACUGCUGAAUAAAAGGAACUCGGAAGUGCUCAGCUGUGGGUGGGUCAUCUUGUCAACCUCCCACCAUCCCAGGCUCAGGCAGCUUCAUAGGAGAGUGGGUGGAAGGUAACAGCUGUGUUACCUGCAGAAGACCUGUACAAGAUCAAGCCAGUCAAGAUUCCAGCAUGGGAUGUGGAGAGGUCCCAGAGGAUCCAUUCAAACCAGAGAAGCUCCUGGAAGUUGAGGGAUAUGAACGGAAGGAAAAUCAUUCUUCUUUGGUGAUGUGUCCAUGGAUAGGUUGACUUUACCCCAGUGGAUAGUCAUGUGUACAUAAGGGCAGCACUAAAUGGACUUGGGGGGUUAUAUUACUAACAAUAAAUAAAUAAAUAAAUAAAUAAAUAAGUAAAUAAGUAAAUAAGGCAUGAGCCUAGGAGGGAUUGGGGUGGGUCAUUGCAGGGAGGGCAUUGAAGGAAGAUUACAGUAGAUGGAUAUGAUCAAUAUACACUGCAUAAAUACAUAGAACUUUCAAAGAAUAAAAAGCAUUAUUUGAAACAUGUUUUAUCAA